UUGAACGCUGGCGGCAUGCUUUACACAUGCAAGUCGGACGGCAGCACAGAGAAGCUUGCUUCUUGGGUGGCGAGUGGCGAACGGGUGAGUAACAUAUCGGAACGUACCGAGUAGUGGGGGAUAACUGAUCGAAAGAUCAGCUAAUACCGCAUACGUCUUGAGAGAGAAAGCAGGGGACCUUUGGGCCUUGCGCUAUUCGAGCGGCCGAUAUCUGAUUAGCUGGUUGGUGGGGUAAAGGCCUACCAAGGCGACGAUCAGUAGCGGGUCUGAGAGGAUGAUCCGCCACACUGGGACUGAGACACGGCCCAGACUCCUACGGGAGGCAGCAGUGGGGAAUUUUGGACAAUGGGCGCAAGCCUGAUCCAGCCAUGCCGCGUGUCUGAAGAAGGCCUUCGGGUUGUAAAGGACUUUUGUCAGGGAAGAAAAGGCUGUUGCUAAUAUCAGCGGCUGAUGACGGUACCUGAAGAAUAAGCACCGGCUAACUACGUGCCAGCAGCCGCGGUAAUACGUAGGGUGCGAGCGUUAAUCGGAAUUACUGGGCGUAAAGCGGGCGCAGACGGUUACUUAAGCAGGAUGUGAAAUCCCCGGGCUCAACCCGGGAACUGCGUUCUGAACUGGGUGACUCGAGUGUGUCAGAGGGAGGUAGAAUUCCACGUGUAGCAGUGAAAUGCGUAGAGAUGUGGAGGAAUACCGAUGGCGAAGGCAGCCUCCUGGGACAACACUGACGUUCAUGCCCGAAAGCGUGGGUAGCAAACAGGAUUAGAUACCCUGGUAGUCCACGCCCUAAACGAUGUCAAUUAGCUGUUGGGCAACUUGAUUGCUUAGUAGCGUAGCUAACGCGUGAAAUUGACCGCCUGGGGAGUACGGUCGCAAGAUUAAAACUCAAAGGAAUUGACGGGGACCCGCACAAGCGGUGGAUGAUGUGGAUUAAUUCGAUGCAACGCGAAGAACCUUACCUGGUCUUGACAUGUACGGAAUCCUCCAGAGACGGAGGAGUGCCUUCGGGAGCCGUAACACAGGUGCUGCAUGGCUGUCGUCAGCUCGUGUCGUGAGAUGUUGGGUUAAGUCCCGCAACGAGCGCAACCCUUGUCAUUAGUUGCCAUCAUUCAGUUGGGCACUCUAAUGAGACUGCCGGUGACAAGCCGGAGGAAGGUGGGGAUGACGUCAAGUCCUCAUGGCCCUUAUGACCAGGGCUUCACACGUCAUACAAUGGUCGGUACAGAGGGUAGCCAAGCCGCGAGGCGGAGCCAAUCUCACAAAACCGAUCGUAGUCCGGAUUGCACUCUGCAACUCGAGUGCAUGAAGUCGGAAUCGCUAGUAAUCGCAGGUCAGCAUACUGCGGUGAAUACGUUCCCGGGUCUUGUACACACCGCCCGUCACACCAUGGGAGUGGGGGAUACCAGAAGUAGGUAGGGUAACCGCAAGGAGUCCGCUUACCACGGUAUGCUUCAUGACUGGGGUGAAGUCGUAA
rnacentral:rRNA from 1 species